GGAUGCCUCAGUAACGGCGAGUGAAGCGGCAAAGCUCAAAUUUGAAAUCUGGCCCCGUCAGGAGCCCGAGUUGUAAUUUGGAGAGGACACUUCGGGUGUGGCUGCGGCGUAAGUCCCUUGGAACAGGGCGUCAUAGAGGGUGAGAGUCCCGUCUUGCGCCGCCGGACCACGCCCAUGCGAAGUUCCUUCGACGAGUCGAGUUGUUUGGGAAUGCAGCUCUAAGUGGGUGGUAAAUUUCAUCUAAAGCUAAAUAUUGGCCAGAGACCGAUAGCGAACAAGUAGAGUGAUCGAAAGGUUAAAAGCACCUUGAAAAGGGAGUUAAAUAGCACGUGAAAUUGUUGAAAGGGAAGCGCUUGCAACCAGACUCGACCGCAGGGGCUCAGCCAGCAUGUUUGCCGGUGUACUCCCCUGUGUUCGGGCCAGCAUCAGUUCUGGCGACGGGUCAAAGGCCCCUGGAAUGUAUCGUCCUCCGGGACGUCUUAUAGCCAGGGGUGUAAUGCCGCCAGCCAGGACUGAGGAACGCGCUUCGGCACGGAUGCUGGCAUAAUGGUUGUAAGCGGCCCGUCUUGAAACACGGACCAAGGAGUCUAACAUCCACGCGAGUGUUCGGGUGUCAAACCCGUGCGCGCAGUGAAAGCGAACGGAGGUAGGAGCCCUCACGGGUGCACUAUCGACCGAUCCUGAAGUCUUCGGAUGGAUUUGAGUAAGAGCGUGGCUGUUGGGACCCGA
rnacentral:rRNA from 1 species